CUAUAUAAUCUUUUCCCUAACACAACCUAAAUUUUCAAAAAAUUCUAAAGCGCCGUCCCUGACUACUGUUCCUCUUCUCCAACGCGAUUUCACCCUAUCUCGCUUGAAAACUCAGGCGAGCUCACUCGGACGGGCCCAUCUGUACCACGUCAUCGAGAUUAUAACCAUGUCUGACAAAAUCCAUCUCCCUCACAUUUCAUUUACUUGAUUUAUUUCAUAUUUUUAACCAUUCAGAUGAACACAUGGAAAAAUGGAGAGCGUUCAAUUGGAUUUGAUUUGAUCCACUCCCUCCAUUUGUCUGUUCUUCAUCAUAGGGAUGGUAAAAUUUCAGAUUUCAGGGAAGAUAUUUUUGGAUGGAUUUCUUGGGAAGAAAAGGAGAAGGUUCGAGAAGCCUGAGGCCUUAUAUAAGGAGGUGAUAUUUUCAGAAGAGGGGAGAAUAUUUUUUUUCCGAAAAAAAUGGAAGAUAAGAAUUAGGUCGAAAUUGUUCUUUCCUUCUGUUUCUUCUUUUUGUUUUUUCAUUUGAGAUCCUAUAUAUAUAAAUAUAUUGUUGAGGGUCAGAUUCCAUAGAUUACAUUUAAUUUUCAAUCUCUGGGUUUUCCGGUAAAAAUGGAAGUUGUGUGAAAAUCCGUUGAAGUUGCUUUUUGUAAGAAGGGCCAUUCACUGUCCAAAAUUUUAUUGCGAUUUGUGUAUCUGAAGUUGGGAGAAAAAUUUAGUAAUUGUGUGACUAUUCUCUGUUUUUUGUAACGAGGACUUUGCCACAACAGGCCUAUUUUCGCUACUACUUCCAUCUAUCUUAGUUUUCGUCUGCGUAUGAAACUUAGAAUUUUCUUAAUAAGUGUUAAUUUAGUUUCAUCUAAUUUUUAUCCCCAUCCAUAUGUUUCUUUUGAUACUGGACAUAUGAAGCAGAGUACUUGUUCUUUGUACUACAAAAAAUCGUAUUUCCAUAGAAUCCACCAUUUAAUCGGAUAUAAUUCAUAUGUUGCACUGGAUUAA
rnacentral:lncRNA from 1 species